GAUGAACGUUGGCGGCGUGCCUAAUACAUGCAAGUCGAGCGAACAGACGAUGAGCUUGCUCCUCUGACGUUAGCGGCGGACGGGUGAGUAACACGUGGAUAACCUACCUAUAAGACUGGGAUAACUUCGGGAAACCGGAGCUAAUACCGGAUAAUAUAUUGAACCGCAUGGUUCAAUAGUGAAAGACGGUUUUGCUGUCACUUAUAGAUGGAUCCGCGCCGCAUUAGCUAGUUGGUAAGGUAACGGCUUACCAAGGCAACGAUGCGUAGCCGACCUGAGAGGGUGAUCGGCCACACUGGAACUGAGACACGGUCCAGACUCCUACGGGAGGCAGCAGUAGGGAAUCUUCCGCAAUGGGCGAAAGCCUGACGGAGCAACGCCGCGUGAGUGAUGAAGGUCUUCGGAUCGUAAAACUCUGUUAUUAGGGAAGAACAAAUGUGUAAGUAACUAUGCACGUCUUGACGGUACCUAAUCAGAAAGCCACGGCUAACUACGUG
rnacentral:rRNA from 1 species